GCCGGGUGUGGCGGUGCGCGCCUGUCAUCCCAGCUACUCGGGAGGCUGAGGCAGGAGAAUCGCUUGAACCCAGGAGACAGAGGUUGCAGUGAGCUGAGAUCACACCAUUGCACUCCAGCCUGGGUCACAGAGCGAGACUCUGUCUCAA
rnacentral:SRP_RNA from 1 species